CAUUCAUUCAUUCACUCAUUCAUUCAUUCAGUGAGAUGAUUUGGCUUAGCACAUAGUUGGGAGAGAAGCUUCAAUGAGAUUAAUUACUAUUCUGUUGACAAUUUUUUCCCAGUCCGCACAGAGAUCUGGGAGUUGGAUUAAGCUCUGAGCAGCUCUGAGACACACAGAAUUCUCAGAAUGGACCCACCAAUCCAGUCUCAGAAACUCACCCAGGCUUUGUCACCCUCCCAUUCUGAAGCAGGCCUAGCAUUACAUUCUUUCUUGUUUGCUACAAGGGUGAUCAGUUUGUAAAUCCAUGUGUAGCUACUGUUUUCCAUGGCACACCAGCUGGAAGUAUCAAAGGGCCCCAAAAGGGUCUCUUGGAUGGUCUUUGGUAAAUUCACAGAGGGCACUGAUUCUCCUCCAGAAAUCGUAAGCAUUUCUGAUUUCUGUAAUUUUGCCUUAUGUCUCUCUAAUUUUUUGUGCCUAGGGAUAGCUGCAUCUUAAGACCAUAUCCUUAGUUGAGUCCACCUUCUAGCCCUUCCAGUAAUGUUAUCUGGUAUGGCCACUACCUUGAAUGAAGGAAAGACUCUUGUUAGUCAGUUUUGACUUAGAACAGAAUUGUCUUAGUCUCAGCAUUUGACAGCCUCUACUUUUAGAAAAUUUUUAUUUAAUGGGCACCUUCUACUGAAAGUAAUCCUCCUUCUGGAACUUUGUCCACACAUCCUUGCAGGGACUGAGCCAGAAGAUAAUCCUCUGUGAAAUUAGAAUAAUUUCAUGUGUUCAGAAUAAGACACUAAUGCUUAGAGAUGGUAAGGGUCCCACAACAAUUAAAUGGAAGGCCCA
rnacentral:lncRNA from 1 species